rnacentral:rRNA from 1 species
CAGUCGCCGCGGUAAAACGUAGGGUGCAAGCGUUAAUCGGAAUUACUGGGCGUAAAGCGUGCGCAGGCGGUUUGUUAAGACAGAUGUGAAAUCCCCGGGCUCAACCUGGGAACUGCAUUUGUGACUGGCAAGCUAGAGUGUGGCAGAGGGGGGUGGAAUUCCGCGUGUAGCAGUGAAAUGCGUAGAUAUGCGGAGGAACACCGAUGGCGAAGGCAGCCCCCUGGGCCAACACUGACGCUCAUGCACGAAAGCGUGGGAGCAAACAGGAUUAGAUACCCCCGUAGUCCCUGUCUCUUAUACC